CAGGCUUUCGGGAAGGUAUAAAAGUUCCCGUGUCCCAGGCUGCCUCAUUCACUCAGCUUCCUGCUCAUCUCCCGCGUUCCAGCUGACAUUCAAGGGGCUCCCGGCAUUACAGAAACAUGUGUUCCCGUGAGCCCAGAGGCUGCCCCGACAGCGAACGCUCCUCCUGCCCCAGCAGUGAACGCUCCUCCUGCCACGGCAGCGAGGCCACGACCUGCCAUGAUGUGAAACCUCAUCCCCAGUACCCCACCACUGUUCCUUGUCAAACCCCCACCAGCCCCUGCCAGCAGCAGACCAAGCAAACCUGCCCGUGGCCACCCCAGAAACACCAGAAGUGAGAGAAGGGGCAAGAAGCUAAAGUGAAGGCGUCCGUCUCGGAAGCCGAGUUUGCGUCUUGUUCUCGGCGCGCUGCCCAGCGCUGGGAAAGCUUUGCCCCUCGCGUCUUUCACAAAUGGCCCAUCCGCUCUCCCCGACGGAUGCUGUAGCAACCCAGGGGUGACUAACCACUGCUAAGGAACGGGCUUGGCUCCUGCAGGCUCCGAGAAUUUCAUCCUGCCUCUGUCCUAGGCAGAAAUGCCAGCUAUUAAAAUUUAAAGUUCA